AUUUACCCUUCAUUUUAUUUAUCUUUUUUUUUUUCUUCUUCUUCUUUUCAUCAGGAAAUUAAAGAAAAUUUGGAAAGAUUUGCGCGAUAUUAUGUAUCCCAUGCCCAAAAUUUGUCGGUCAGGUUUUAUCUAAAUUAAAUUAAACCUGAAAGAGGAAAGAGUUUAUCCGGGUUUAAGAAGCGUGCGUGAAAUUGUUUGAAUGAGAAAAAAAAAAAAAGAAAAAAAAAAAACACGAGUUUUUUUACACAUCUCUAGACACAUCGAAAACAAGAAUGGACGAAUAACUACAACAAUUAAAAAAACUUUCUAUAUAUAUAUAUAUACAUAUAUUGGUCUAGCUUCUAAUAUCUUAGAGCAUGUAACUGGCAGAAGCGAAAUUUUGUUCACGUAGGUAACGAAUAAUAAUUUCGACGAGAAUCUAUAAUAGCAUCGUAAAUGGUAAUUUACGAAGGACAGGUAACGGAAGAAAAUAUAUAAAUUUUUUUUAAAAAGAUCCGUAUGCAAGCUUUCUUUUUCUGACAUGUAUGUCGAUUGAUCGUUAUACCGGCGUAUCGUAUGUACUGCAUGAUCUUUACAAUAUUACAUGACACCUCGCAUGAUCUUUAUUGCAUUAUUAUUAUUGUUAUUUAUUUAUUUAUUUUUUUUUUAACAUAUAAAAAUCUUUCAAGUUUGUCUCCUGCGUUUUUUCUCUACAAGGCAAUAAUUCCACGAUAUUUAUCUCUCUCCCCCGCCCCCGCCCCCUCUUUUCAAUAGCGUUUCUUUUUUUUUUCCCUACGCCUGAUGCACGUAUACCCCUCCCUUCGCCCCCCACCCCCAACUACCAGAGCCCGAACAAC